GAUGAACGCUGGCGGCGUGCCUAAUACAUGCAAGUCGAGCGAACAGAUAAGGAGCUUGCUCCUUUGACGUUAGCGGCGGACGGGUGAGUAACACGUGGGUAACCUACCUAUAAGACUGGGAUAACUUCGGGAAACCGGAGCUAAUACCGGAUAACAUUUGGAACCGCAUGGUUCUAAAGUGAAAGAUGGUUUUGCUAUCACUUAUAGAUGGACCCGCGCCGUAUUAGCUAGUUGGUAAGGUAACGGCUUACCAAGGCAACGAUACGUAGCCGACCUGAGAGGGUGAUCGGCCACACUGGAACUGAGACACGGUCCAGACUCCUACGGGAGGCAGCAGUAGGGAAUCUUCCGCAAUGGGCGAAAGCCUGACGGAGCAACGCCGCGUGAGUGAUGAAGGGUUUCGGCUCGUAAAACUCUGUUAUUAGGGAAGAACAAACGUGUAAGUAACUGUGCACGUCUUAACGGUACCUAAUCAGAAAGCCACGGCUAACUACGUG
rnacentral:rRNA from 1 species